CAUAUCGCGAGACCUCCUCUCCCUCUCCCUCCUCCUCCUCCUCCUUCCCCUCUUUCCCCCUCCCACUCAGUAGUCCUCCAGCCCGGCAUUUUUCAUUCCCAGUGCGGCGGGGGGGCGUGGUUAGAAGGGUAAACGUAAAAGGAAGCAAGAAGGCCUUUCUCGUUUUUCUCUUUUCCCCAACCGAAUGAAGUUCCACCAACACCUCUUCUUCGAAUGAUCCCUCUUGGCGCUACUGUCCCCCGCGCUUUUACUACAAGCCCUAGGGAUUCUGUUCUCGCCCCCACCCCUCCCGGCCUGAGUUCGUUGGACGGGUCCACUUUGGAGCGCCUUGACUCCACCCUCCCCCGCCCUUCCUCGCCCUCCCCCGGCCUGGCACCGGAAGCGGGCUAGCGUGGGCCGCGGGGGGUGUGGGGCCGGAGGGGGAGAUGCGGGUGCCGCUGCUGCUGGGGAGUGGGAGAGGACGGGGCAGAGGGGAGAAGGCCGCCUGGGCCAGGUUUUGGAGCCUGCGGGGGCGUGUGGGAUGACCCUCGGGUCGGCGGUGGACGGCACUUCGCCUAUGGCGACCCCGCACCCCGCCGGUCUCCGUCCCUGCUCCCUGGAGGGGCCGCGGGGAACCCGCGCCUUCCACCUCCCAGAGUCCUCCGGGUCCCCCGUGGGAAACUUCCUCGAUCUGACCCACAGAGCUUCCUCCCCGUCCGCCGACGCUUGGCGCUUAGUGCUUACAGAGGGCUUUGCGCCUCGACCCACUUCCCACUCGUAAAACGGCGUGGAUUAAUCUCGCGGGCACAGUUUUCCUUUUUAGAAUAUGUGAAAGGAUUUCACUUGGCUGCUCAGGAUGCAAAGAAAAUAGAUUCUGAUCCCUGUUCAUAAGAAACUUGUACGGAAUCCAUCCAUAUGUUAAAAAUGAACAUAUCUUAAGGGCUGUUGGCCAUACUGAAAAGUGGGGCAGUGACAACCUGUGUUGUGAUUGAAGCCAAGUGAAACCUUUCAGA